AGAUUUUGUAUUUUUUGCCAUAAAAAAACAAUAAUGAAGUGUGGUGAAGUAGGUUCCAAAGCCAUAAACUAUGCAAGUUUCACGUGAAAACCAGCUGGCUAAUGAUGGUAAUGCUGAUCUUUGCAUUUAUUUCUUUUCACUUUCUUUUUCUUCCAUGUCUCAUUCUUCAUUGAUUUUUGCAUACUAAUGGGACCCCAUAAACUAUGCCAUAUCCCUCUUUUAUUUGCUACUUUUUCUUAGUAGAUCACACAUAGUUGACAAAAACAUAAUUAUAAUUCACAACAUACUUCCCGCC
rnacentral:lncRNA from 1 species